UGAUAUGGCACUUGGUUGUCCUCCCUCUUGUGUAUUUGUUUGAGGGCUUUUCUUCUUCUUUCCCUAGGUAAGAUAAACCAAACGACGUCCUCUCUUCCUUCUUCUUUGUUUCUGUCUUUCAAAACGUAGCAGCAUCAAUCAAUGUCAAGAUCUCUUGAAGACCAGUUCCUAGACAAAACUUCAUUUUGUUCUCUAGACAAAACUCCAUUUUUUCCAUGAGACCCACAAUUUCUGGCAUUUGAUUGUACUUGGACGAGAUUGCAAUCUCGGAUGGCUGGCAAUUGGCCGGAGGUGAUAUGGCACUUGGUUGUCCUCCCUCUUGUGUAUUUGUUUGAGGGCUUUUCUUCUUCUUUCCCUAGGUAAGAUAAACCAAACGACGUCCUCUCUUCCUUCUUCUUUGUUUCUGUCUUUCAAAACGUAGCAGCAUCAAUCAAUGUCAAGAUCUCUUGAAGACCAGUUCCUAGACAAAACUUCAUUUUGUUCUCUAGACAAAACUCCAUUUUUUCCAUGAGACCCACAAUUUCUGGCAUUUGAUUGUACUUGGACGAGAUUGCAAUCUCAAUUGGAGGGUCUAGAUUUUUUUCUUCUUCUGAGGAGUGGGUGCUUAGGAUUUGAUAGACGAUGGGCUCGAGACAAAAAAUGGCUGGCAACCUUCUUCCCCUUCUACCCCCGGUUCUCCCUCUUGUUCUUUUUCAUCUUUCUCCAUCCUUCGAGUAGUUAAGGCUAAUUUUUUCUGUUUUUCUGACAUUUUUCCUAAUAUUUCUGUUUUCUUGGCUAAAAGCAGCCAAUUUUUUUCCCAUCUCCUUCGUGUCCUUUUGUGAAACAAUGAGGAAGGGGAAGGUCAAUAUUUCAUCUCCGCUAUCUGAUGUGAAUUUCUAGAAUGCAGAUAUGUUGCUUUUCUUCCCCAUUCUUUCCAUGAUUAAUGUGUCCGUUUCAUUGCUAUUUUAUCAUUGCUUUUUUAUUUUUAAUUAGAAGAAAAACUUUUAAUAAUUGAUGAUUAGCUAGCUUUUAGAUAUUUAUUUACUUAGUGUUUUGUUAUUCCAUUUUUUGUUCUUGUCUUUCUUGGAUUGUUCUGGAGCUGGGAGGAAAAAUGGCCACCCGUGAGAAACAACUGUUGUUGUUACAGGAAGGAAUAUGAAGGCUUGAACUUGACGUCUCUAAGAAGUUGUUAAAGCUGGAAAUGACCAUACUUCGGGUUUUGUUACCGAUGGACCUGCUCAAUUGCAUGGUGCUGCCUAGACAAGUGCCUCACCCUGCUCUUCAGCAUCAUUAAUAUUUUCGCCAACUCUAGGCGUGCCUUCAAAUGCUGAAUGGAAUGGGUAUCAGGCUAGCAUUUGCAAUGACCAACCCAGUAUCUGAGAUCAAUUUCUAUGCACUGCACCAGCAACAAAUGCCAGUUGAUGAAUAUCCUCAGCGACCUGGUCAACCUGAUUGCAGUUCUUGAAAACUGGAGACUAUAAAUACAAAGCUAAUUGUAGAUUUAACCAUCCUAAGCUUCAAAGUUCCAAGUCAACGUCAUGUGCUCUUAGCAACAAGAGUUUGCCUCUGAGACCUCUUCAUGAUCAAGUUGUAGAAAAGUUCAAUUGCAUACCAUCUCCAGGGAUCUAGCACAUCUAAUACUUUCACUUUGGUUCUCAACAAUUUCUUUCAAAAGUUGCUCAUUCACUUCUAGAACGAGUACGAAUGACAAAAAGUUGUUAUUUUUUGUUAAGUUAAAAUAUGUAUUUAUCAAAAUCAUGGAAGGUCAAGUUCAUGUUUCGAGAUUCUGCGAGACUAAUUUUAGUUUUUUAUCUAUUUAUUACGAAUUCCUUGA